rnacentral:rRNA from 1 species
CGUACACUCCUACGGGAGGCAGCAGUGGGGAAUAUUGCACAAUGGGCGCAAGCCUGAUGCAGCCAUGCCGCGUGUAUGAAGAAGGCCUUCGGGUUGUAAAGUACUUUCAGCGGGGAGGAAGGCAAUACGGUUAAUAACCGUGUUGAUUGACGUUACCCGCAGAAGAAGCACCGGCUAACUCCGUGCCAGCAGCCGCGGUAAUACGGAGGGUGCAAGCGUUAAUCGGAAUUACUGGGCGUAAAGCGCACGCAGGCGGUCUGUCAAGUCGGAUGUGAAAUCCCCGGGCUCAACCUGGGAACUGCAUUCGAAACUGGCAGGCUUGAGUCUUGUAGAGGGGGGUAGAAUUCCAGGUGUAGCGGUGAAAUGCGUAGAGAUCUGGAGGAAUACCGGUGGCGAAGGCGGCCCCCUGGACAAAGACUGACGCUCAGGUGCGAAAGCGUGGGGAGCAAACAGGAUUAGAAACCCUAGUAGUCCC